rnacentral:rRNA from 1 species
UACAGAGGUGGCAAGCGUUGUUCGGAAUUACUGGGCGGAAAGGGCGCGUAGGCGGCCUUCUAAGUCAGACGUGAAAUCCCCCGGCUUAACCUGGGAACUGCGUCUGAUACUGGGAGGCUUGAGUAUGGGAGAGGGAUGUAGAAUUCCAGGUGUAGCGGUGAAAUGCGUAGAUAUCUGGAGGAAUACCGGUGGCGAAGGCGGCAUCCUGGACCAUAACUGACGCUGAGGCGCGAAAGCUAGGGGAGCAAACGGG